rnacentral:tRNA from 1 species
GCAGUGGUCAUUCAGUGGUAGAAUUCUCACCUUCCUUGCUGGAGACCUGGGUUCAAUUCCUGGCCAAUGCA